UUUAUUUUACUAAAUGGACAAAGCAUUAAAAUUACUCCUUGUGUGCUCCCUGCGCUUCCUGCCUGUCUUUGUGGCAGUCCAGAUUGAAUUGGGGAGUACAUGU